AGAGUUUGAUCCUGGCUCAGAACGAAUGCUGGCGGCGUGGAUAAGACAUGCAAGUCGAACGGAAUAUUUCUGUAGUAAUAUGGAAAUAUUUAGUGGCAAACGGGUGAGUAACACGUGAGAACCACCCCCAGAGCGGAAGAUAGCCAGCCGAAAGGUUGGGUAAUACUCCAUAAUCCCGAAAGGGCAAAGUCGUAAGACACUCAGGGACGGGCUCGCGCUCCAUCAGCUAGUUGGUAGGGUAAUGGCCUACCAAGGCUUUGACGGAUAACUGAUCUGAGAGGAUGAUCAGUCACACUGGAACUGCGACACGGUCCAGACACCUACGGGUGGCAGCAGUCGAGAAUCAUUCACAAUGGGCGAAAGCCUGAUGAUGCGACGCCGCGUGGAGGAUGAAGGCCCUCGGGUCGUAAACUCCUGUCGCCAUAGAGCAAAGCAGCGUAAGCUGCCUGAUAUUAUAUGGAAAGGAAGGGACGGCAAACUCUGUGCCAGCAGCCGCGGUAAUACAGAGGUCCCAAGCAUUGUUCGGAUUCACUGGGCGUAAAGGGUGUGUAGGAGGCAAGGCAAGUCUGGCGUGAAAUUUCGGCAUCCAAUGUCGAAACUGCUCUGGAUACUGCUUUGCUCGAGUGCC
rnacentral:rRNA from 1 species